rnacentral:rRNA from 1 species
AACGAACGCUGGCGGCAGGCCUAACACAUGCAAGUCGAACGCCCUGGCAACAGGGAGUGGCAGACGGGUGAGUAACGCGUGGGAACGUGCCCUUCGGUUCGGAAUAACUCAGGGAAACUUGAGCUAAUACCGGAUACGUGCGAGAGCAGAAAGAUUUAUCGCCGAAGGAUCGGCCCGCGUCCGAUUAGCUAGUUGGUGAGGUAACGGAUCACCAAGGCGACGAUCGGUAGCUUGUCUGAGAGGAUGAUCUGCCACACUGGGACUGAGACACGGCCCAGACUCCUACGGGAGGCAGCAGUGGGGAAUAUUGGACAAUGGGCGCAAGCCUGAUCCAGCCAUGCCGCGUGAGUGAUGAAGGCCCUAGGGUUGUAAAGCUCUUUCGCCAGGGACGAUAAUGGCGGUACCUGGAUAAGAAGCCCCGGCUAACUUCGUGCCAGCAGCCGCAGUAA